GCCGCGUGUGUGAAGAAGGCCUUUUGGUUGUAAGCACUUUAAGCGAGGAGGAGGCUACUCUAGUUAAUACCUAGAGAUAGUGGACGUUACUCGCAGAAUAAGCACCGGCUAACUCUGUGCCAGCAGCCGCGGUAAUACAGAGGGUGCGAGCGUUAAUCGGAUUUACUGGGCGUAAAGCGUGCGUAGGCGGCUGAUUAAGUCGGAUGUGAAAUCCCUGAGCUUAACUUAGGAAUUGCAUUCGAUACUGGUCAGCUAGAGUAUGGCAGAGGAUGGUAGAAUUCCAGGUGUAGCGGUGAAAUGCGUAGAGAUCUGGAGGAAUACCGAUGGCGAAGGCAGCCAUCUGGCCUAAUACUGACGCUGAGGACCAAAGCGUGGGGAGCAAACAGGAUUAGAUACCCUGGUAGUCCAUGCCGUAAACGAUGUCUACUAGCCGUUGGGGCCUUUGAGGCUUUAGUGGCGCAGCUAACGCGAUAAGUAGACCGCCUGGGGAGUACGGUCGCAAGACUAAAACUCAAA
rnacentral:rRNA from 1 species